GGGUGGGGCCUCAGCAGCUUCCUGGCAUCUAUCUUACAUAACUGGAACCCCAAGAAUUCCAAUUACCCUGAUGCUUACCCAAAGUUUAUUGCUAUAGGCUAGGGAUGCCCCCUGAAUCUCCAUCAGCCUCCCCCCCAAACUGCCCCAAAUAAUCAUGGAAUCAAAAGACAAGAGCAAGAACUCAGUCCAUGAGGGAGAUAGGGAACAAAGGCCUGGCCCCUUCUGGCCCACCACCACCCUAGCCAUGUGGGUACUCUCACUGUUUAGCCUCCAUUUGAUAGGAGCUUAGCUAUCUUUAUGAUUUAAAAAACCCCAAAAACCUCUUAUCAUUCAACCAUCUUUUUCCCCUUGAAGGUCAGUGGCGCCUCUGCUAGGAUGCCCACUUCCUGGCUCAAGAUGGAUUUUUAGAUUAUGGAUCUAGUUUAAGUGAAUUGAUCCUGGGCCCACAGCAUGGCCACAGUUCAGGGAGAGACCCUGUGCUCCCUAGCCCUCCCUCCUUGGCCUCCUGCUGGAGGCUGAAGCAUUGGUGGAGAGGAAAGGAGAGGCCACAGAGGAGUGUGGGCCUUACCUGUUCUCUGUCCCCAACCCCCAGGCCAUAACAGGGAUGGCCAUCGACAACCACCUGCUGGGGCUGCGGGAGCUGGCCCGGGACCUGUGCAUGGAGCCACCUGAGAUGUUCACAGAUGAGACGUACCUGACCAGCAACCGAUUUGUCCUCUCCACCAGCCAGGUGCCCACUACCAUGGAGAUGUUCUGCUGCUAUGGUCCUGUGGUCCCCAAUGGCUACGGAGCCUGCUACAACCCGAAGCCCGAGACCAUACUCUUCUGCAUCUCCAGCUUCCACAGCUGCAAGGAAACCUCGUCGGAGGGAUUUGCGGAAGCCGUGGGGGCAAGCCUCGCUGACCUGAGAGCCCUGUGUAGCCCACUGCAGCCUGCUGACUCUAGGCCUCUGGCGACAGAAGAGAAAGCCAGGGGGCCCAGCCAGGACCACCAGCCUUGACUUCUGCUCCAAGUCCAGCCUUCUGCAGCUGCUAGACCCCGCCUCAUGCUUGUUCUCAGCCCUCUUUCUGCCUCUUUCAGCCCAUUGCUGCUUGCUUCAGUGUCCCAUUCCCCAGGCCCAAACCACAGGUUAUAUGCAAGUAAUUUCCAAGCCAGAGUGCUGGGGGGAAAAGGGUGCCUCAUGAGGUGUGGAGUGGCCUAUGCAGCCGGAAUGAGGCCAUCCUGGCUCCCAGGUGGUGAGGUCCCUAGCAAACACCUCCCUCUGUGGCUCCUCAGAGCUUAAUUCUCAUGUUCCCUCCCCUGGGGGACCCAGCAUGUCUGGAGAUGUUUCUGCCCAGCAAAACAAUGAGUCACUCUAUUAUGUGACAUGCGCACAAAUGAAUCAUGGAGGCAGAAGCUAACUCGGGGUCAUUACCCCCUUUCCUUUCUGAGAGGAGUUGGGGGGGAGGCUUUGUUUUCAGAUUCACAGCAUCCGAUGGUGGCAUUCAGAGUCUCCACUGAGCCAUACAGUCCUGCAGACAUCUGCUCCCUACACACACAGCCCAAGUUCCUUGCGACAUGGUGACCUGUGCCCCAGGCAUGCUUCUCCCUCAGAAGGGCAGCUUCUGUUGAGUUCAGGAAAUCUCGCACAGAUUUUAGGAAAGAAAAGCAUGUGUGCAUCAGUCUUGGAGUCCUUGGGGCUCUCUGCUUUUCAGGUGGCAUCAGGGACAGGAGGAACAGUCAACCAAUGGUCUGGAGCAGGCAGAGUCCUGCCCCUGAAUCUUUUCCAUGUCCUCUGCCCACCUCCCAGAACACUGACCCUGAAGUAUGACCUCUGCCCAUGGGCAGAGACCAGGCAGGGGCUUGUGGAGUUUUCUCUUUAUGUUUAUAUAUUUUUGUUUGUUUCCCAGAGGGAGGUUUUAAAAGAAAACCACUCUGACAGUGAUUUCAGAAAGUGGUCUCAGGGGCCACUACCUGUGGCUGAUGUGAUAUCCAGAAAAAGGCUGACCAAAACCCACACACAGGGCUCUCUGCUGGCCUUAGAGACAGAGACCCCCACCUUGCCAGGGCAGGAAAGAGCAGAAGGUUAUCCUGGAUCAUCCUGCCAGACCCCCCUGCCCCCCGACAGAGUUGGUGGGGGUGGAAGAGAGGUACCCAUAUUGGGGCACAUUCUUUUCAUUAAAAUUUUUUU
ensembl:lncRNA